rnacentral:rRNA from 1 species
AUGGCCGAGGCCACCUUCCACCACUUCUCUGGCGUCCUUGGCACGACUGAGGCGCGUGAGUUCUCGAUCGAUCAGUCGCUCCUUCAGCAGUAUGCCUCCCCCCUUGAUGACCUCGACGAGCCUUUCUCCGAGGAGGAAAUCUGGCGCACGGUCAAGUGCUUACCUUCUGGCAAAGCGCCAGGACCGGACGGCUUCACGGCAGAGUUUCUUCGGGCUUCCUGUGACAUCAUCAAGCAAGAUAUUUGCGACGCGUUCAACAAGUUCUACGCCGCCAACGGGCGUAGCUUCCAAAAACUUAACGAGGCCCUCCUCACCGUGCUCCCCAAGCAUGCGGACGCAGCGGCGCUCUCCGAUUAUCGUCCCAUUAGCCUCAUCCACCUCAUCGCCAAGCUCUUUGCGAAGGUGCUCUCGCUACGCCUCGCACCAAAGAUCGACGCCAUGGUUUCAACUAACCAAAGCGCAUUCAUCGUCGGGAGAUGCAUCCACGACAAUUUCCUCCUGGUUCAGCAGACGGCCCGCCUCCUCCACAACCUCAAGUCGCCGCGCAUGUUACUCAAGCUCGACAUUGCUAGGGCCUUCGAUAGCAUCUCUUGGCCUUUCCUUCUGGAGACGAUGCGACACCUCGGCUUCGGGCGCCGUUGGAGGGACUAG